CCUACGGGAGGCAGCAGUGAGGAAUAUUGGUCAAUGGACGAGAGUCUGAACCAGCCAAGUAGCGUGAAGGAUGACUGCCCUAUGGGUUGUAAACUUCUUUUAUAAAGGAAUAAAACGAGGCACGUGUGCCUUUUUGCAUGUACUUUAUGAAUAAGGAUCGGCUAACUCCGUGCCAGCAGCCGCGGUAAUACGGAGGAUUCGAGCGUUAUCCGGAUUUAUUGGGUUUAAAGGGAGCGUAGAUGGGUUGUUAAGUCAGUUGUGAAAGUUUGCGGCUCAACCGUAAAAUUGCAAUUGAUACUGGCAGUCGUGAGUACAGUUGAGGUAAGCGGAAUUCGUGGUGUAGCGGUGAAAUGCUUAGAUAUCACGAAGAACCCCGAUUGCGAAGGCAGCUUACUAAACUGUGACUGACAUUGAUGCUCGAAAGUGUGGGUAUCAAACAGGAUUAGAUACCCGAGUAGUC
rnacentral:rRNA from 1 species